GGGUCCCCGAGGGCCGUGAGAGGGGCCUGGUGGAGAAGAUGGUGGUGGGGGGUGUUGCUGAGGGAGGAGGGGUUGAAGGGGAAUGUGGAAACUGAGGAAAAGCGUGGGGAAGCUUCGCUGGGCGCUGUGGGGCGGAGUGGGGAGAAGGAGGACUUGGGGACGUGUAAGGUUGGGCCUGAACUCUGGUGGAGAGAUGAGGAAUGAGGACAAGGGAGAGGCCUGGGGGCAGGUGGGAGCUUGUUGGGGGCAGGUGUGGCAGAGGAGGGUGGUUUGGGGGCAGGCCAGUUGGGGGUGAGGAGAUCUGGCUGAGUGGAGCUGCCUUUCUGGCCGGGAGCAGCUCAGCUACAGGCGAUAACCCCAGGAGGUGGUAGGUGUCUCCUUGUGCUAACUCUUGUGCAACUGGCCUAACCAAAUGGGUGCAUUUCAGACUGUCUGCCCUUGGCCAAACUGUAUCCGGUUUAUGGCUAGGAGAGGGAAAACAAAAAACAAAACCACCCAAAAAACUAAUGGACUGAGCAUAUGCCCCCCAGGGCUCUGGUCUUGGAUCUUGGUGGUGGGUUUUGAACUUGAUUACAGCUGGAGGAAUUCUAAACAGUCCACCUCUCCUUGCCAUGGUGUUCAACCUCAUUGUGCUCCUGUCUGAACAGAGGAAAUCGCUGAGGUAUUUCUUUCCAUAAGAAGGCUCUGCAUCCAGCAGGCAUAGAGGGUGAUGCUGGAUACUGUUGAUCUGAACUUCACACUUCCAUGU